rnacentral:rRNA from 1 species
GACGAACGCUGGCGGCGUGCCUAAUACAUGCAAGUCGAGCGAAGUUUUUCUGGUGCUUGCACUAGAAAAACUUAGCGGCGAACGGGUGAGUAACACGUAAAGAACCUGCCUCAUAGACUGGGACAACUAUUGGAAACGAUAGCUAAUACCGGAUAACAGUAUUUCUCGCAUGAGAGAUAUUUAAAAGUUGGUUAUGCUAACACUAUGAGAUGGCUUUGCGGUGCAUUAGCUAGUUGGUGGGGUAAAGGCCCACCAAGGCGACGAUGCAUAGCCGACCUGAGAGGGUGAUCGGCCACACUGGGACUGAGACACGGCCCAGACUCCUACGGGAGGCAGCAGUAGGGAAUCUUCCACAAUGGGCGAAAGCCUGACGGAGCAACGCCGCGUGAGUGAAGAAGGAUUUCGGUUCGUAAAGCUCUGUUGUUAGGGAAGAAUGGAUAUGUAGUAACUAUACAUGUAAGAGACGGUACCUAACCAGAAAGCCACGGCUAACUACGUG